rnacentral:rRNA from 1 species
UGGCGGCAGUAGCGCGGUGGUCCCACCUGACCCCAUGCCGAACUCAGAAGUGAAACGCCGUAGCGCCGAUGGUAGUAUGGGGUCUCCCCAUGCGAGAGUAGGGAACUGCCAGGCA